rnacentral:rRNA from 1 species
CCUACGGGGGGCUGCAGUAGGGAAUAUUGGACAAUGGGCGAAAGCCUGAUCCAGCCAUCCCGCGUGGUAGAUGAAGGCCCUCUGGGUUGUAAAUACCUUUUGCAAGGGAAGAAACUCUCCGAUUCAUCGGAGCCUGACGGUACCUUGCGAAUAAGCACCGGCUAACUCCGUGCCAGCAGCCGCGGUAAUACGGAGGGUGCAAGCGUUAUCCGGAUUCACUGGGUUGAAAGGGUGAUAAGGCGGCAGAGUAGAAAGCCCCAGGCUCAACUUGGGAACUGCCAUUGAUACUGAUAUUCUUGAAUUCGUUUGAGGCAGGCGGAAUGUUGCAUGUAGCGGUGAAAUGCUUAGAUAUGUUACAGAACACCAAUUGUGAAGACAGCUUGCUAAGACGAUAUUGACGCUGAGGCACGAAAGCGUGGGGAGCAAACAGGAUUAGAUACCCCGGUAGUC